UCCAUCCCAGGACUCUGAGAUCAAGACCUGAGCCACAGGCAGAUGCUUAACUGACUGAGCCACCCAGGAUUUAUCCUUUUUAGGCCUAAAAGUGUUCUUUUCUCUUUACAGAUCCUAGAAAACUGAUGCUCAGAGCAGGAAAGUGACCACACACAGCCAGUCGGUGGCAGUCUCAGAAUGAGCAGCUGGAUAUCCUGAUGCACUUCUUCUGCAAUUCAGCUGGGACAACCAGAUUGACCUGGUGGAUCUGGGGGCAAAGAGCAAACACGACCUGAUUCAUUCAUGGUGCCUGAAGAAUACAGCCCUCCAGAAAAAAGCAUCUUCUCAGAAUCCUCUGUACUUUGGCUUUCCUAUCCUUGCUGGUACUGAAACUCCUUCAGGCGACUCUUUUAGGGGUACAGCUCCAAUCCAAUAGACAAAGUGGACACCAUGCCAAUGGGAACACCAUCUUUUCUCCUUACUCCCCUCCACAUUGGAUCCUGGCCAUUUCAGACACCUUCAUAAAACCACAGGGCACCUUGCAAUAAUUCAGGAGCCCAUUACACAGCAGGCCGACUCCACAGGCAGGCCCUCCCCUGCUCUGACGUAGCACGCCCGGCCAUUUCACUGCUCAUUAGCCCCUUUUCCAGAGAGUGAGCAGAGAAAACAAGAGGAGAUAAAAUUCAAACCCAUCCGUUUGCCUCCUAUUAGCUGCUGUAGUUAAAAGUUUAAUGGAGGAGCAGGCUGGAAUGAUUAAUUAAUAUAAAGUUUAAAGAGUGUCUCUGAAGCUCAUUUGUUUAAGCUCUUCCUUUCCUCCCGAAUCACCUAUGGUACACGAUGCGCUGGCCGCAGGACUGGGAUCCAGUCGGCCAGAGGGAAGAUGAUCAUGGCAAGGGGCUGAGGAAAGAAAACUGACAUUAGAUUUUCUUUCUACCAAAUCCAAAACUUUAUGUUAUCUCAUACAGCCUUUUUGAGUUUUUUAAUUAAAUUAGAAAAAAAAACUA